GAAAUUCUGAGUGAUGGAUAAAACUGUCUGGGGAGACUAUAGAAGAGGAGCCAUAAAAACAUUUAGAGGUUAUGUGAACUCUGAUUCAUGUGGAGCACACAUGCACACAAAUAUUCAGUCUCUGAUCUUACGUAUUUCACCUUGUUAUUUUUAAUAGUAUGUACAUUUCACAGUUUAUUCUCAAUAAACUCCUCUUGGCCGUCUUAUAACGGGUAAAACACUACAGCUACUGGAACUCAUAAGCAGUCACAGAGGGAGUAGGAAAAUCUGUAUGCUGGGAGGAAUCCUGACUACCCCUCCCAGCCUGCCUUGGGGUGAUGCACUGACUGUACUUCACCUCCCUUUAUCCUCUGCUCUGUGGAACCCCUGGAGUCAAAUGCUGACACCUACAUUUGACAGACAGAUUCCAUCGUCCCUAAAUGGAUCCAUCUCAGUGUAUCUGCUGGACUUGCACAUAAGCACCAUAUUACUAGUACUCAGAAUGACUUUAACAGUCUCCCAGUCUUUGCACUCACUCUGGCCUUAUCCAAGAAGGCUUACUCAUUACGUUUUCCUGCUGCUCUUUUAACUACUUGAUAGCUAUAAAGCAUGCCAGAAAAUGUUCCUUUUGCUGUAGCAUGAUAUUCAUGACAGCACUAUCACCAAAACAAUGGAUCGUCAGAAAAUUUAUUGUGUAUGGAAGAAAUGUGUAUGGCAGAAAUGUGUAUGGCAAAAAAAUAAAUAAAAUUGUUUCUUUAAAU
rnacentral:lncRNA from 1 species